GGAACCACAGAAAUAAUAUAUUUUGAAUUGUUUUUCUACCGUGAGAGUUAUAAUUAGUCUUUACGCCACUUGUUCAGAAACUGUGAUGCUCUUUUUUUUUUUCAACCCCAUAGCAACAGAUAUGAUGCUUUGUAACUGCAUUGCAUUCACAAACUGAAGAAGUAGGAAGUUCAAGUUGAAAGGACAUUAUUUCUAUGCAUGAUAUGCUCUGGGAAGUGCAGUUACUCUGUUACCCAUUUUUGUACAUUUUUAAAAUUAGAGAUCUAGAGUGGGUUUCUGAGUUUUAGACAUUUAAGUGGCCUAAUUUUCAAAAAUACUGAAAGCUCAGUAGCUCCCACAGAAGUCAAUGGGAGCUCAUCAGUGCUCGGCACUUUCAAGAACCAAGCCACUUAUUUAGGUACCUACAUAUGGUUUUAGGACUCUACCAUUAUGUCCAUGUUCUCAAAAACCUUGGUUAGGAGGUGGUCCAGUUGGUUAAAACUGCUAUACUUACUAUAUACAGGCAAGGACUUGGUGAAAAACUAAUGGUCUCCUAUAAAUGUAUUGAUCGUUAUUUUUGUAUGAUCUACCUACUUCAAUGCUGAUCUAGCAUAAUCUUUAUUCUGAAAUAGCCUCUCAUAUGUAUAUGAUCUCUGUUCAAUAGAUUGAUAGGUGGGAACAGUAAAAGACUUCAAUCCUAAUUCAUAAGACACUUAGAAUAAAUAAGAAAGCACUCAAAUAACACUAGUCCUAACCAUUUAUUUUUCCUGUUCCAUGCUCUGCCCUGAUCCUUAUUGCAUCUCUGUGCAGAUAUUAGAUCUAUUUCUUCAGUAUUACCAUUAGUGAUGUAUGGAUGCUAACAAUGUCUAAGGACUCCAUAGAACAAUCUCAGACAAACACAACCCUUUUAUCGACCUGAUCCUGGAAACAUGCCUGUCGAUAAAAGUGAUCUCUUGCGAUUCACCCAGAAGAAGUGGCUUCCAUGCUAGGGAACUCUCGUGAAAUUAACCAGCCUCAACUCCCUACACGAAAACAUCAUCGCACGGUCAGCAAAAGAGCUUCAACUGAGAUGACGAGGCAUAGGAAGGGGAAGCUGUUCACGUUGUACGGGACCCAAACCACGUAUGGCCUUAUCAAUUAAACUGAACUGGGAAGCAGUCCAUGGAGCAGAGAUGUUAAACUCAGACCCAAAAUCCUGCCCUUGACACACACACAACGGAAAAGCUGCAUGAGGUCUUUUGCCUUUAGGUGGAUUUUCCCCUACUAUGCUACAAUUGUAUUUGUAGAAACAGUGCCUCGGGCUGGGGGUUACAAAUCUGGCCCAUCUCUGAAGUAGUUGACUGUAUGUCAGUUGUAAGAAGUGUGUUUUUUAUAAAUUCAAAAUAUAUUUCAAUUUAAAAAUAAACAUGCCUUUUAAAUCUUU